UCUGGGAAAUGAUGAAAAAGAUAAAUACGGAUAAGCAGAGGCUCCAAUGGUUGAGCUAUGCUGAAUGUUUUUGCACGUCAGUCUGAUCCCAAA